rnacentral:rRNA from 1 species
GACGAACGCUGGCGGCGUGCUUAACACAUGCAAGUCGAACGGAAAGGCCCUGCUUUUGUGGGGUGCUCGAGUUGCGAACGGGUGAGUAACCCGUGAGUAACCUGCCCUUGACUUUGGGAUAACUUCAGGAAACUGGGGCUAAUACCGGAUAGGAGCUCCUGCUGCAUGGUGGGGGUUGGAAAGUUUCGGCGGUUGGGGGUGGACUCGCGGCUUAUCAGCUUGUUGGUGGGGUAGUGGCUUACCAAGGCUUUGACCGGUAGCCGGCCUGAGAGGGUGACCGGCCACAUUGGGACUGGGAUACGGCCCAGACUACUACGGGAGGCAGCAGUGGAGAAUAUUGCACAAUGGGCGGAAGCCUGAUGCAGCAACGCCGCGUGCGGGAUGACGGCCUUCGGGUUGUAAACCGCUUUCGCCUGUGACGAAGCGUGAGUGACGGUAAUGGGUAAAGAAGCACCGGCUAACUCCGUG